rnacentral:rRNA from 1 species
CCAUGAAGCUGGAUUCGCUGUAAUCGCGCAUCAGCCACGGCGCGGUGAAUACGUUCCCGGGCCUUGUACACACCGCCCGUCACACCAUGGGAGCCGGUAAUACCCGAAGUCAGUAGUCCAACCUCGUGAGGACGCUGCCGAAGGUAGGAUUGGCGACUGGGGUGAAGUCGUAACAAGGUAGC